GGGUCAGUAGGUUGGUCGUGCCACCGGUACGUACUGGUCUCACUGAUUCCUCCUUCCUGAAGAACCGUAAUGCCAUUAAUUUGGUGUUGCGGGGAAACAGGACUGUUACUUUGAAAAAAUUAGAGUGUUUAGAGCAAGCUAACGCUUGAAUACAUUAGCAUGGAAUAAUGAAGUAGGACGAUCGAUCCUAUUUUGUUGGUCUCUAGGAUUGACGUA
rnacentral:rRNA from 1 species